UGCGUAGGCGGAUGUGCAGGCGUCGUGUGAAAGCCCUCGGCUCAACCGGGGAAUUGCACGGCGAACCGCACGUCUCGAGACAAGUAGGGGCGGUCGGAACGAUAGGUGGAGUGGUGAAAUGCGUUGAUAUCUAUCGGAACGCCAAAGGUGAAGACAGACCGCUGGGCUUGUUCUGACGCUGAGGCACGAAAGCGUGGGGAGCAAACGGGAUUAGAUACCCCGGUAGUCCACGCCCUAAACAAUGUGCACUAGAUCGAAGGAGGUACUGACGCCUUUUUCGGUCGAAGUAAAAACGUUGAGUGCACCGCCUGGGGAGUACGGUCGCAAGGCUAAA
rnacentral:rRNA from 1 species